rnacentral:rRNA from 1 species
UCUUGCUACCAAACAGCCCUGAACACACUUAGUUUCAUCUAACUUGGGAAACCAAGCAGGGUCAGACCUGGUUAGUACUUAGGCCAGAAAGAAUCUUGAAUGAAAUACUGGACUAGGCCAGGU